CAGCCGCAAAAGCCCGCUGGCUCGCACGGGGUGCUCUUCAUCGAGUGUCCCGCGUGGCCGGCAGAGUUUACUUUGAAAAAAUUAGAGUGCUCAAAGCAGGCUACACUGACAGCCUGAAUGCCUAUGCAUGGAAUAAUGGAAUAGGACCUCGGUUCUAUUUUGUCGGUUUUCUGAACCCGAGGUAAUGACUAAUAGGAACAAGCGGGGGCAUUCGUAUUGCGACGCUAGAGGUGAAAUUCUUGGACCGUCGCAAGACGAACAACAGCGAAAGCAUUUGCCAAGGAUGUUUUCAUUAAUCAAGAACGAAAGUUAGAGGUUCGAAGGCGAUCAGAUACCGCCCUAGUUCUAACCAUAAACGAUGCUAACCAGCGAUCCGCCGGCGUUAUUCCCAUGACCCGGCGGGCAGCUUCCGGGAAACCAAAGUCUUUGGGUUCCGGGGGAAGUAUGGUUGCAAAGCUGAAACUUAAAGGAAUUGACGGAAGGGCACCACCAGGAGUGGAGCCUGCGGCUUAAUUUGACUCAACACGGGGAACCUCACCAGGCCCAGACACCGGAAGGAUUGACAGAUUGAGAGCUCUUUCUUGAUUCNGUGGGUGGUGGUGCAUGGCCGUUCUUANUUGGUGGAGCGAUUUGUCUGGUUAAUUCC
rnacentral:rRNA from 1 species